rnacentral:rRNA from 1 species
AUGCUCUACUCAUGGUGGCUCCAAGCCAAGGCGUCGGACAAACAAUCGCGGGAGAAAUGUCGGAUAUGCUACAUCGUGGUGGAAAGACUAUUUCUCACCUGCUCCUGUCUACCCCAGUAUCUGCACAAUAAAACAAUCCAAGCAGCGGCUUAUUCGCCUCCGGCGGUAGCGCCGGCGGCUUGCCCCCGGCAGAGACCGCCCUGCAAUGUCACCCAGCACAACACCAGCCUCUCUGCCUCUAGCUCCAGCGCCAGCUGCUCAAGCUCGCCGUCGCCGCAUCGCCAUGCGAGGCGUCGUCACCGUCGUGCGCAAGCAUCCGAACCAAGGGCCAUUGCCAAGCCUCACACGCCACCCCAGUUUACUGUCAAGUUUGAACGGCUUCAGAGUUCAAUUAAUGGGCCGCAGAGCGUCACAAUCCAUGGUCCACAAUAG